AACGAACGCUGGCGGCAUGCCUAACACAUGCAAGUCGAACGAGACCUUCGGGUCUAGUGGCGCACGGGUGCGUAACGCGUGGGAACCUGCCCUUAGGUUCGGAAUAACUCAGAGAAAUUUGAGCUAAUACCGGAUAAUGUCUUCGGACCAAAGAUUUAUCGCCUUUGGAUGGGCCCGCGUAGGAUUAGCUUGUUGGUGGGGUAAUGGCCUACCAAGGCGACGAUCCUUAGCUGGUCUGAGAGGAUGAUCAGCCACACUGGGACUGAGACACGGCCCAGACUCCUACGGGAGGCAGCAGUGGGGAAUAUUGGACAAUGGGCGAAAGCCUGAUCCAGCAAUGCCGCGUGAGUGAUGAAGGCCUUAAGGUUGUAAAGCUCUUUUACCAGGGAUGAUAAUGACAGUACCUGGAGAAUAAGCUCCGGCUAACUCCGUG
rnacentral:rRNA from 1 species